CUCUUAUCCGGAGUGGUGGAGGGACUGGCCCGAUGAAACCCGGCAACCAGCUUGUAGUACCCUGUAACAGGGACAUUUGAGUAUGGUGCUAAUUCCUGCAGAAGAUAUCUUCUGACAGAUAAGAG
rnacentral:ncRNA from 2 species